rnacentral:rRNA from 1 species
AGGCGGGUGAAUAAGUUGGAAGUGAAAUCCUAUAGCUUAACUAUAGAACUGCUUCCAAAACUGUUCACCUAGAGUAUGGGAGAGGUAGAUGGAAUUUCUGGUGUAGGGGUAAAAUCCGUAGAGAUCAGAAGGAAUACCGAUUGCGAAGGCGAUCUACUGGAACAUUACUGACGCUCAGAUGCGAAAGCGUGGGGAGCAAACAGGAUUAGAUACCCUGGUAGUCCACGCCCUAAACGAUGUACACUAGUUGUUGCUAUACUAGAUAUGGCAGUAAUGCAGUUAACACUUUAAGUGUACCGCCUGGGGAGUACGGUCGCAAGAUUAAAACUCAAAGGAAUAGACGGGGACCCGCACAAGCGGUGGAGCAUGUGGUUUAAUUCGACGAUACGCGAAAAACCUUACCUGGCCUUGACAUGAUAGGAAUCUUUAAGAGAUUAGAGAGUGCUAGCUUGCUAGAACCUAUACACAGGUGCUGCACGGCUGUCGUCAGCUCGUGUCGUGAGAUGUUGGGUUAAGUCCCGCAACGAGCGCAACCCACGUGAUUAGUUGCUAACGGUUCGGCCGAGAACUCUAAUCAGACUGCCUUCGUAAGGAGGAGGAAGGUGUGGACGACGUCAAGUCAUCAUGGCCCUUACGGCCAGGGCUACACACGUGCUACAAUGGGAUAUACAAAGAGUCGCAAUACCGCGAGGUGGAGCAAAUCUAGAAAAUAUCUCCCAGUUCGGAUUGUUCUCUGCAACUCGAGAACAUGAAGUUGGAAUCGCUAGUAAUCGUGGAUCAGCAUUGCCACGGUGAAUACGUUCCCGGGUCUUGUACUCACCGCCCGUCACACCAUGGGAGUUGAUUUCAUUCGAAGCGGGGAUGCUAAAGUAGCUACCUUCCACAAUGGGAUUAGCGACUGGGGUGAAGUCGUAACAAGGUAACC